UCUCAGUGAUUCUGAGUUUAAGCCGAGAGUUGCUCACGUGACCGAGAUCUCACAUGACGUAGGUGAUCACGUGAUCAACCGCUUACGUGAGCAGAAGUAGUUCUGGUCGUCGUCUACCGUCUCGCUAUACCCGUUUGAGGGAAGAAGGAGGAAAAUUAUCCGAACAUGAACAAAGUUAUCAGAAAAAACUGGACUACCACAACCAAAGAUGUCACAGUUGGCACACAAUUCUGAUAAGGUAAGCCAAGGUCAGGGAGUAAUGUUCUUUAAGACACAAUACUA
rnacentral:lncRNA from 1 species